UGUAGCGUCAGCCUUGACGUGCCAUGGGUAGCAGGUUCGAUUCCCAGCUGGGACAAAAUCAUCCAUAUUAAAUAUCGUAACUUUGUUUUGUACUGGAGAAGUAUUGUAUGCAGUUAAAAAGAAUAUGUGUACGUAUUAUAAAAAUGGAUGAAAUAAUAUUUAACCUGAAAUUUUUAAAGAACGAUAAUCUAAAAAAUAAUGUCAGACCUUAAUAUAAUAAAUAUAAUACCUUAAUAUAAUAAAUUAACUGCAGAAUUGUAGCACAAAAGAUUUGUAAAUACAUCCGGGUCGAAGAUAAAUUUAUGAGAAUCUACACAUUAGCAUCAUAAUAUUUAUCACCUGAUAACUGGUUAAUGUAUUUUUUUCAAUUAAACAUGGAAAUGACAUUACGAUGUGAUUAAGUUGAUUCAGUAGUAAUAGGGUUUGUGCAAAAGAAUAGCCUUGGUCAAUACAUAAAUGCAUUAGAGUCAUUUGCGUGGUAAGAUGUGUCUUAAAAAAUUGUCAUACUGGUUAAAAAGUUUCAAGUUACAUUGUGAUGUGGUUGUUGGCGCUCAUGCUAUGCAAAUGAGAGGCGUCAGGGUGGCUGUUUGUUAAAGUAGUGGGAUAUACUUGGAGACGACGAGCAAUCGUCCAUCCCGUGAAAAAUAUUCGACUUGAGGGCAUUGGUCAUGAAGUAGAUAUAGGGGUGGAGAAACUCUGACUGGUCGACCUUGUUAAAAAUGCAGCUUUUGCGCGAUCGAACGACAACAUACAUACAUUUCCAGUUGUGCUUACUCAUUCUGUCUCCUUCUAAAAUUAUGUUGUUUAUUUUUAUAUAUAAAAGGUAUCCACUUUAAAUUUAAUAAUCAUUCAUAACAAUAAAAAAAAUACUACAAGCUGUAGUGUGAUUAAUAAUUAAAUAAGUCUACCCAGUUCAAUUAAUAUCCUUUACAAACCAAUGGAAAAUAAAAGUUAAUUAUUUGUUGAUAAACUACGGUUAAUGUUUAACGGAAUUCCAUUUUUCAAAAUAUGUUGACUGGACUAUAUUGAGAAAUUUUAAUAUUAAGUUUUUGAGAUUAUUAAACAUGCAAAUAAAAGUGGCAAAUAUGUAUGAACAAAGUCAGUGUAAAUUUGUAUUCUACAUCGAGUUGGUUUUGAAUCUAGUCUAUAUUUCAGUUGAAAUAUCAUUAUUAAUAAACACAUUCAGUACAAAAAAACUCUUAUGAAAUUAUAAUAAUAUUGAGAUUGGCAGAAUAAUCCAUAUGUGUAUGAAAAUAUUUUAAUCAUCAAGACAAAGUUGCUGAUAUUUCACUCCAAAAUUGCACGAUAUGGCAUAUCAUUAAAGAGUGAUGAUUUAAAUCCUUUGCAAACCAAAAUAUUGGGAAAUAUUGAUGUUGAAUUUUUGAGUAAAUUGAACAUAAUUGAUUGCAGUGCAAAUACAAAUUCUCCAUCAAAAAUAUGAUGAACGACUGUGUCUUCAGAUUCUGACCAAAAAUUCAUUUUAUAUCCCUUUAAUCAAAGUUUCAUUUUAAUUGAAUACUAUCAAGGUGUCAACCUUUGACUAUUUUAAAAUAAAAUAAUUGAAAUAUCAUACCACCGAUUCACCAGAUGUACAAAAGUCAUCAGGAGUUGAUAAAUUUUUCAUAAAUGCAAAGGUCUCUGUAGUAGAAUAAAACAGAAUACUGACUGACACAAAAACACAAAAUUUGGUUAUUGUCACCAUGAUAUUGAUAUUGAAAUGUAUCUAAUUUGCAAUAUAAUUUGUGUGUGUGUAGAGCACAUGUAGGUCACAAACUGAACGUUUUUUUUAUUGAAUUCCGACUAUAUAUGAGGUCAAAGUAGAUAGAAUCGUUUGAUAGUCAAGUAUACACAUAUUUAUUGUAUAGCAGUCUAUUCAAUGUUAUGGACAUGUAAGCAAUUAUUCUGUAUAAAUUUGCAAAGAAGAUUAUUGAUUAAACACCUGGAACAUUUUCAAUUGUCAAUAUAUAAUUCUUGUCAUACACAGUACAAGUAAUAAUUGAAGAAUGUGUUUGUUUUCAAAAUCAAUUACUCUUCUUCCAUUAUUUGUAGCGUAAACAUUUUGACUGAAGAAGAUUCGACUUUAUAAUCUGAUUAUUUUUUAUUCUUUUUAUGGAAUGAGUUGCGUGACAAAUUGAAAUAUUUUCAUGAUAUCUAUUAAAAUUACUCUCAUUUCAUUUAUUGAUGAAAGUAACGGGAAUUGACAGUAGAAUCGUCGAAAAAGGUUUCCUUGUAAAGGACAUAGCACUUAAAAUCAAAUGAUAUUUUUUGUUUGGACAGUUCUCGAAAUUGGAGCAGAAUAAAUGGAGAAGUAGAGAUGUUUUUUGAGGCUACAAACGAAAUAGUUGGAGAUUGCGGAAUCCUACGUUUUUCUGCGGAUCCGGGAAUCCCAUUGGAGGUCUAAUCGCAGCUGUUAAAAAUGUCUGAAAAAAAGGAGAAGCAAACGAAGAUUUUUUUAUUAUUUUUAUUUUCAACAAAAGAGUGAAGCACAAGUUGAAACGCCUGCAUUCAAAUGGUUUUAGAAACACGUUUGCCAUACAAAUAUUUUAAAAAGGAAACUCGUAAUGUCUAGGAAAUACUGAAAGGAUGUAAGGAAAAAGGUGAAGAAAAUUACGAACAUGAACGAAACUUGAG